AUUGAACGCUAGCGGGAUGCCUUACACAUGCAAGUCGAACGGAGUGGCGAACGGGUGAGUAAUGUAUCGGAACGUGCCCAGUAGCGGGGGAUAACUACGCGAAAGCGAAGCUAAUACCGCAUACUUUUGGAGCGGCCGAGGUCGGAUUAGCUAGUUGGUGGGGUAACGGCUCACCAAGGCGACGAUCCGUAGCUGGUCUGAGAGGACGACCAGCCACACUGGGACUGAGACACGGCCCAGACUCCUACGGGAGGCAGCAGUGGGGAAUUUUGGGCAAUGGGGGAAAGCCUGAUCCAGCCACGCCGCGUGUGCGAAGAAGGCCUUCGGGUUGUAAAGCACUUUUGGCAGGAAAGCGGUACCUGCAGAAAAAGCACCGGCUAACUACGUGCCAGCAGCCGCGGUAAUAC
rnacentral:rRNA from 1 species